UACGUAGGGGGCUAGCGUUGUCCGGAAUCAUUGGGCGUAAAGCGCGUGUAGGCGGUCCGGUAAGUCCGCUGUGAAAGUCGGGGGGCUCAACCCUCGGAUGCCGGUGGAUACUGUCGGGCUUGAGUACGGAAGAGGCGAGUGGAAUUCCUGGUGUAGCGGUGAAAAUGCGCAGAUAUCAGGAGGAACACCGGUGGCGAAGGCGGUU
rnacentral:rRNA from 1 species